GCAAGUCGAACGGCAGCACGGGGGCAACCCUGGUGGCGAGUGGCGAACGGGUGAGUAAUGCAUCGGAACGUACCCGGAAGUGGGGGAUAACGUAGCGAAAGUUACGCUAAUACCGCAUAUUCUGUGAGCAGGAAAGCAGGGGAUCGCAAGACCUUGCGCUUUCGGAGCGGCCGAUGUCGGAUUAGCUAGUUUGUGAGGUAAAGGCUUACCAAGGCGACGAUCCGUAGCUGGUCUUAGAGGAUGAUC
rnacentral:rRNA from 1 species